GACGAACGCUGGCGGCGUGCUUAACACAUGCAAGUCGAACGCUGAAGCCCAGCUUGCUGGGUGGAUGAGUGGCGAACGGGUGAGUAACACGUGAGUAACCUGCCCCCUUCUUUGGGAUAACGCCCGGAAACGGGUGCUAAUACUGGAUAUUCACUGGCCUUCGCAUGGGGGUUGGUGGAAAGGUUUUUUCUGGUGGGGGAUGGGCUCGCGGCCUAUCAGCUUGUUGGUGGGGUGAUGGCCUACCAAGGCUUUGACGGGUAGCCGGCCUGAGAGGGUGACCGGUCACAUUGGGACUGAGAUACGGCCCAGACGCCUACGGGAGGCAGCAGUGGGGAAUAUUGCACAAUGGGCGAAAGCCUGAUGCAGCGACGCCGCGUGAGGGAUGACGGCCUUCGGGUUGUAAACCUCUUUCGCUCAUGGUCAAGCCGCAGCUUUGGGUUGUGGUGAGGGUAGUGGGUAAAGAAGCGCCGGCUAACUACGUG
rnacentral:rRNA from 1 species